rnacentral:rRNA from 1 species
GAACGGUGAACUCCAGCUUGCUGGGGGGAUCAGUGGCGAACGGGUGAGUAACACGUGAGCAACCUGCCCUUGACUCUGGGAUAAGCCUUGGAAACGGGGUCUAAUACCGGAUACGAGACGCUCGGGCAUCCGAAGCGUCUGGAAAGAUUUAUCGGUCAGGGAUGGGCUCGCGGCCUAUCAGCUUGUUGGUGGGGUAGUGGCCUACCAAGGCGACGACGGGUAGCCGGCCUGAGAGGGCGACCGGCCACACUGGGACUGAGACACGGCCCAGACUCCUACGGGAGGCAGCAGUGGGGAAUAUUGCACAAUGGGCGCAAGCCUGAUGCAGCGACGCCGCGUGAGGGAUGAAGGCCUUCGGGUUGUAAACCUCUUUCAGCAGGGAAGAAGCGAAAGUGACGGUACCUGCAGAAGAAGCGCCGGCUAACUACGUGCCAGCAGCCGCGGUAAUACGUAGGGCGCAAGCGUUGUCCGGAAUUAUUGGGCGUAAAGAGCUCGUAGGCGGUUUGUCGCGUCUGCUGUGAAAACUCGAGGCUCAACCUCGGGCUUGCAGUGGGUACGGGCAGACUAGAGUGCGGUAGGGGUGACUGGAAUUCCUGGUGUAGCGGUGGAAUGCGCAGAUAUCAGGAGGAACAC